AAAACGACUCUCGGCAACGGAUAUCUCGGCUCUCGCAUCGAUGAAGAACGUAGCGAAAUGCGAUACUUGGUGUGAAUUGCAGAAUCCCGUGAACCAUCGAGUCUUUGAACGCAAGUUGCGCCCCAAGCCUUUAGGCCGAGGGCACGUCUGCCUG
rnacentral:rRNA from 1 species